CCUUGAAGAUUUCCAGGGAUGGGAAAUCUACCACCUCUCUGGGCAACCUGUGCCAGGAUUUCACCACCCUCAUUGUGACAAAUUUGGCCUUGUUGAACUUAAUAAGGGUCACAUGGGCCCACUUCUCUUGUUAGCCCAGAGAGUUGUCAAAAGAGUUCACUUUUCUCAAUAGAGAUUGCUGUCAGGCCAUUGUAUCUUUAAUGCUAUUAAGACUGCACUCCAAGCACUGAAAAUGUUCAAAUAUGAUCUUAAUUGGUAAAUAUAAGUGGAAACCUGUGCAUUCCUGUGAAAUCAUCGUGUUCAUACAAACCUUGGUCAGAACGGUGGGAUAUGACAACUCUUUGUCCAAGUGAAGUUUUAAGCUGAUGCAGAAAUAGUGCUUAUUGUAUUGGUUUUCAUUACAGAAUUUAGCAUAUUUCCAGAUCUGAGAAUAGUUACUCUGUCAUUAAAUAUAAUUAUUUUGUUGGCAAUAGGACUGGUAUUAAGUUUUUUUAUUUUCCUUCCUUUGCUUUCUUCAGUUACAUGUUACAAACCACUCCAAAGGAUGUAAAGAAAGGUAAAAUUAGAGCUUGAAUGUUCCUUUGAAGGUAUUGUAAGAUUGCACAAGACUUUCAAGAUGCAGCCCAGCCCCUAAGUGAUAUUUCCGUGUCAGUUAUCUGAGACAGCAGGGAUUAUGUGUAGAAUUUUGGUUAAGAAUGUCAUUCAGCUGUUGUCAAACGGAAGUACUGGAGAAACAGUUUUGCUAAGUAUAAAUGUGACCAUUGUUUUCCUCCAGGUUUUUUUUUUUUGCUUUGGAAGAAAUAAUAUCAUUUCUAUUUGUGAAACGGGCAAGGUGAAAACUUGAUAUUUGCAUUUUGCUUGAGUGAUGUGCUUGGAAAUUUUCUAGCCUGCAGCAUUAGUCUGUGGCAGAUCCCUCAAGAAAACAAAAGCACUGAAGGGUGACAAAAUGAGAAUCUACACAAGAGCAUUCAUUUGGAAAUGUAGUCAGUGGGUUAAUGUCCUACCAACUUUUCUAAAUCUGUGCUCCUGCAGUGCUUCUGGACAGGAAUCCAAUUCAGAUGUACGGAGUACAUUUUGAGAGCUGCUCUUUAUCAAAUUUUAAUGUGCUGUUCUAACUGUAUCUCACUCGUUUUGCCUGCAAAUGAUGGAGGGUGUCCAACCCAGAUGCUGAAUAUAGCUCAGAAGAGUAAUUAUUAAGGAUCUUGCCCUGCCAUAAAAUUUAACUUACAGAAACCUAGUAGCAUUACAUACUGCAAGCUCUGCACUGCAUAAAACCGAAUAAAGAUUUUUGUUUUCCUGACCACCCAUUUCAGGCACUGGAAGCUGCUGCUUGUCGAAAGACGGCUCGUUUCUCUUGUGUCCUGACAUGUGAGUCUUUGGGUCGUGUAACCAGCACAUGUGAGGUCACACAAUAGGAGAGGAACUCUGCUGGCACCCACGGAGGCAAAUUUUUCUUACUGCCGGGCUCUUUUUGCACAAGACCUGACCAGUUCUGUCUGUUGUGUGACGCCCGAUAAUCAAGGUCAACCUUGGAAGGGGAUGGAGUAAAGCAGCGUCAGGUGCUGCUCCUUCGUGAGGGCCACGAAUGCUGCCUGGGACUUGGCACGUGUGCUCCAAGGAAAGUAUUUUUCAUGUGUCGACGCGUCAAUAAAAUAGAAUAUUGGAACAAAUCUGAGCUGUGUGUUGUGUAAAUUCUCUUCUGUUCUAGUUAUGCAAGAGAAGCCUUCUGAAAACGAGGUAGGACCAUGUUUCCUCUAUCAGAAGGGUUCUGGAAUGCCCUUGGUACAAAAACGUUCUCCUGCUCAUAUGAAACAAGCCGCGUUCCAAUGAGUGACACAAACACGGGCCCUGGAGAGCAUCUCCGAGGAGCAGGCAGCACCUUCUGCCCUGAGACAAGGACCACCCCAGCUGGAAGCUCAGGCUGAACCCUGGGGCAGGUGGCUACCAGAAAUCUCAUCCCCGAGUCCACAGGGGAGCUGGACACCGAAUCCACCAAAGAUAGAGAGACCAGGAGUUUAUGUACCGGCUUGUCCAGUGGGUCCCAGGAGGGACAGGAGGAACAUCCUUCCCUGCUGCCUGAUGGGUUGGGCUGUAUUUUAGCCAAAAAACAGAAGAACACGGGAGAAUUUCAAUAAGCUAACACCAGUGGUAUUUAGGCACCAAAUCCCUCUCUGUAUUUUUGACAGUCUCCCCUUAUCUGAGCACAUUCACACUUCAACCACUGAGAAAUAAAAUGUUGCUUCCCACA